AGCAGGUGAUGCACUGCAACACUGAAGAAGACUGCACCCAACUUGUGAAGUUACUUCCUCCAACUGAAGCUGCACUCCUUGACUGGGCAAUCAAUUUAAUGGCAGACGUUGUGCACAAUGAGCAUUAUAACAAGAUGAAUGCAAGGAAUAUUGCCAUGGUUUUUGCUCCUAACAUGACUCAGGUACUUGAGAGCUUUUCAAUAAUGUAGCUUUUACUUAUUAUGUUUUCCUUCGCAAAUGCAUGUUUGAUGGGAAUUGAAAUCAUGUUGUGCAUAAUGAGCAUUAUAACAAGAUGAAUGCGAGGAAUAUUGCCAUGGUUUUUGCUCCUAACAUGACUCAGGUACUUGAGAACUUUUCGAUAAUGUAGCUUUUACUUGUUAUGUUUUCCUUGCAAAUGCAUGUUAGAUGGGAAUUGAAAUCAGAGGGUUAGUUUUACCCAAAUGUCUAAGUUGGGAACGAUAUGGUAUGUCCUUGGUGAAUUGUGUUUCAUAUACUAAUUAUGGGAUAAUAAAUCUCGCAGAU
rnacentral:lncRNA from 1 species